rnacentral:rRNA from 2 species
ACGAAACUUUCUUACACCGAAUGCUUGCAUUCACCGUAAGAAGUUGAGUGGCGGACGGGUGAGUAACACGUGGGUAACCUGCCUAAAAGAAGGGGAUAACACUUGGAAACAGGUGCUAAUACCGUAUAUCUCUAAGGAUCGCAUGAUCCUUAGAUGAAAGAUGGUUCUGCUAUCGCUUUUAGAUGGACCCGCGGCGUAUUAACUAGUUGGUGGGGUAACGGCCUACCAAGGUGAUGAUACGUAGCCGAACUGAGAGGUUGAUCGGCCACAUUGGGACUGAGACACGGCCCAAACUCCUACGGGAGGCAGCAGUAGGGAAUCUUCCACAAUGGACGCAAGUCUGAUGGAGCAACGCCGCGUGAGUGAAGAAGGUCUUCGGAUCGUAAAACUCUGUUGUUAGAGAAGAACACGAGUGAGAGUAACUGUUCAUUCGAUGACGGUAUCUAACCAGCAAGUCACGGCUAACUACGUGCCAGCAGCCGCGGUAAUACGUAGGUGGCAAGCGUUGUCCGGAUUUAUUGGGCGUAAAGGGAACGCAGGCGGUCUUUUAAGUCUGAUGUGAAAGCCUUCGGCUUAACCGGAGUAGUGCAUUGGAAACUGGAAGACUUGAGUGCAGAAGAGGAGAGUGGAACUCCAUGUGUAGCGGUGAAAUGCGUAGAUAUAUGGAAGAACACCAGUGGCGAAAGCGGCUCUCUGGUCUGUAACUGACGCUGAGGUUCGAAAGCGUGGGUAGCAAACAGGAUUAGAUACCCUGGUAGUCCACGCCGUAAACGAUGAAUGCUAGGUGUUGGAGGGUUUCCGCCCUUCAGUGCCGCAGCUAACGCAAUAAGCAUUCCGCCUGGGGAGUACGACCGCAAGGUUGAACUCAAAGGAAUUGACGGGGGCCC